UGCUGACCACACUCUGAGAGGAGAAACUUGGCUUGUGGACUUUGUCUCUGACUGAGGGACACACACUCUCUCCCUGGAGGUUUGAAGCUGGAACGUAUAAGCCAAGCCAGGCUGUUUGUACUCCGGGCCAUGUUCAACUAAUCUUUAUGGAAAUAUUCAGAUUGACUAAGUGAACUGGAGGGUUUUCUGUUUGGCAAAAUAAGGCAGAAGUUUUGAAGCCACUUUGAUCAACUGGUUUGCCUCAUUGUAAUAAGGAGUCACUCUUGCUUCCAGCUCUACAUAUGGGGAAACCAAGGAGGAAAUACAAUGUCAACCAAUCACCACGAAUCAGCAAAUACUUACCCAAGACUUCAUAUUAGGCCAGUAAAAAAGCCAAGAUUUUGGAACAGCCUCACACAGGGCUUUGAAUAUAAUAGAUGCUUAAUAUA